GGAUUGUAACUCAGUGGUAGAGCACUAGCCUUGCACGUGUGAGGCCCUGGGCUUGAUCCCCAGCACCA
rnacentral:tRNA from 1 species